rnacentral:rRNA from 1 species
AUUGAACGCUGGCGGCAGGCCUAACACAUGCAAGUCGAGCGGAUGAAGGGAGCUUGCUCCUGGGUUCAGCGGCGGACGGGUGAGUAAUGCCUAGGAAUCUGUCUGGUAGUGGGGGAUAACGUCCGGAAACGGGCGCUAAUACCGCAUACGUCCUGAGGGAGAAAGUGGGGGAUCUUCGGACCUCACGCUAUCAGAUGAGCCUAGGUCGGAUUAGCUAGUUGGUGGGGUAAAGGCCUACCAAGGCGACGAUCCGUAACUGGUCUGAGAGGAUGAUCAGUCACACUGGAACUGAGACACGGUCCAGACUCCUACGGGAGGCAGCAGUGGGGAAUAUUGGACAAUGGGCGAAAGCCUGAUCCAGCCAUGCCGCGUGUGUGAAGAAGGUCUUCGGAUUGUAAAGCACUUUAAGUUGGGAGGAAGGGCAGUAAGUUAAUACCUUGCUGUUUUGACGUUACCAACAGAAUAAGCACCGGCUAACUUCGUG